CUUUUUAAUUACAAGAGAUGAUGUUCUGUUAUUUAAAUUUUUCAGGAUACAUCUUCCAGCCUCCCCAUCUUUCUUCAAUCAGUUUUGUCAUCUGCAACAAAACCAAUAUCUGUAGUUGCUGCUGUUGUCUCCUUGGUAUCUUAUUUUUGCAAUCCUGCCAUACAGAUUGGCGCCACUAAAGUACUGUCAACGCUGUUGAUGACAGCAGAUUUCUUGCCACCAUAUUUUUCUGCAAGCAGCUUUGGUCUAGAUGAUAAACAGGUUUAGCAUGUUCGAGUUAAUGCAUUUUCUUUCCUGAUCAUUAAUUUUUUUAUUUGAACAACUGACCCAUUGUUUCUCAUUUAAUAUAUUUUAAUUAAUACACCGUCUAGGUUGUUGAUUUGAAAGAUUCUGUAAGCUUUAUUCUACUAGAGCAAUCUGAAGAAAAUGAAGACUUAUUUGUUGCUACCGUCAAUCUUUUCACUGCUGCUGCUCGUUAUCAGAGUUUAUGGACGUCCAACCAGGUAAUGUUGGUGAUGGGAAGCUGCCAGCAAUUGAGGUUUCCUCUGGGCCAGUAGAGUCUAAAAGUUCAAGCCUUGUAGAUACAGUACUUUGUUAUGUUGUAAAUUCUGACAGUCAUAUCAAUAAGUAAG